rnacentral:tRNA from 1 species
CGAACUAGCUCAACCUGGUAGAGCACGAGAUUCAAAAUCUCGGUGUCGAAGGUUCGAAUCCUUCGUUCGCCC